rnacentral:rRNA from 1 species
GAUACCCUGUUAGAAUUUUAAUAUUAAGUAGUAAGUGAUGAACAUGAAACUUAAGUUAAUUGGCGGCUUUUAAAAAUAUUUAGAGGAAUUUAUUCUGUAGAGGAUUAUACACCAAAAUCUUACUUUUAAUUGUAUUAUACAGUUUGUAUACCUCUGUUUUAAUAUAUAUGGUUAUAUAUUGUCACAUUUUUAUGAAAGACAUUUCAGGGAAAGGUGCAGCUUAUGUAAAAGGUUGAAAUAAAUUAUAUUAAUUUAUAUUUAACAGUUUUAUUAUUGUAAAAUAAUAAUUAAGAAAAAUUUAAUAGUAAAUUUUGUGUAUUAGGCAUAUUUGAAUAUUUUUUUAAAGU